rnacentral:tRNA from 1 species
AAAAAGUUAGUUAAAAUAUAACAUUAAUAUGUCAUAUUAAAAUUAUUAGGAAACUAGUACUUUUUG